rnacentral:tRNA from 1 species
AUCUAAGUGUCUGAUUAAAGUUAAAAAUUGUAAAUUUUUAUAAAACAGCUUAUGUUGUUCUUAGGUA